rnacentral:rRNA from 1 species
CCGCGCGAAGGUAGCGUAAUCACUUGUUUUUUAAAUAAAGACUAGUAUGAACGGCCACACGAGGACUUAACUGUCUCCUUUGUCCAAUCAGUGAAACUGAUCUCCUCGUGCAGAAGCGAGGAUUUUCUCAUAAGACGAGAAGACCCUAUGGAGCUUUAAACUUUAUAUCAACUAUCUUCUUCACCCCCUCUAAGGAACUAACACCUAAUUAAAUUUCUUGAUAAAAGUUUUGGGUUGGGGCGACCAUGGAGAAAAAGAAAUCCUCCCUGAUGAUAACCUAACCAAGAGCCACAGCUCUAAGUAUUAAGACACUUAACUCCUAUUGACCCAUUUUAUGAUCAACGAACCAAGUUACCCUAGGGAUAACAGCGCAAUCCAUUUCAAGAGUCCAUAUCGACAAAUGGGUUU